GACGAACGCUGGCGGCGUGCUUAACACAUGCAAGUCGAACGGAAAGGCCCUGCUUUUGUGGGGUGCUCGAGUGGCGAACGGGUGAGUAACACGUGAGUAACCUGCCCUUGACUUUGGGAUAACUUCAGGAAACUGGGGCUAAUACCGGAUAGGAGCUCCUGCUGCAUGGUGGGGGUUGGAAAGUUUCGGCGGUUGGGGAUGGACUCGCGGCUUAUCAGCUUGUUGGUGGGGUAGUGGCUUACCAAGGCUUUGACGGGUAGCCGGCCUGAGAGGGUGACCGGCCACAUUGGGACUGAGAUACGGCCCAGACUCCUACGGGAGGCAGCAGUGGGGAAUAUUGCACAAUGGGCGGAAGCCUGAUGCAGCAGCGCCGCGUGCGGGAUAACGGCCUUCGGGUUGUAAACCGCUUCCGCCUGUGACGAAGCGUGAGUGACGGUAAUGGGUAAAGAAGCACCGGCUAACUACGUG
rnacentral:rRNA from 1 species